rnacentral:rRNA from 1 species
CCUACGGGGUGCAGCAGUGAGGAAUAUUGGUCAAUGGACGAGAGUCUGAACCAGCCAAGUAGCGUGAAGGAUGACUGCCCUAUGGGUUGUAAACUUCUUUUAUAUGGGAAUAACAUGUUCCACGUGUGGGAUUUUGUAUGUACCCUAUGAAUAAGGUUCGGCUAACUACGUUCCUACAGCCGCGGUAAUACGGAGGUUCCGAGAGUUAUCCGGAUGUGUUGGGUUUAAGGGUAUCGUAGUGGGUUUGUUAAGUCAGUUGUGAAAGUUUGGGGCUCAACCGUAAAAUUGCAGUGGAAACGGGCAGUCUUGAGUACAGUAGAGGUGGGCGGAAUUCGUGGUGUAGCGGUGAAAUGCUUAGAUAUCACGAAGAACUCCGAUUGCGAAGGCAGCUCACUGGACUGCAACUGACACUGAGGCUCGAAAGUGUGGGUAUCAAACAGGAUUAGAUACCCCGGUAGUC